ensembl:rRNA 5S_rRNA 5S ribosomal RNA
GCCAGCAGCCAUAUCACCCUGCAACACACAACUGGCAACCCACUGAAGCUAAGCAGGUGUGAGCCUGGUCAGUAACUGGAUGGGAGACCUCCUGGGAAAAACUAAGGUUGCUGCUGGAA